rnacentral:rRNA from 1 species
ACAGCAGCCGCCGCGGUAAAACGAGGGGUGCAAGCGUUACUCGGAAUUACUGGGCGUAAAGCGUGCGUAGGUGGUGGUUUAAGUCCGUUGUGAAAGCCCUGGGCUCAACCUGGGAAUUGCAGUGGAUACUGGGUCACUAGAGUGUGGUAGAGGAUAGUGGAAUUUCCGGUGUAGCAGUGAAAUGCGUAGAGAUCGGAAGGAACAUCUGUGGCGAAGGCGACUAUCUGGGCCAACACUGACACUGAGGCACGAAAGCGUGGGGAGCAAACAGGAUUAGAUACCCCCGUAGUCCCUGUCUCUUAUAC